rnacentral:rRNA from 1 species
UACAGAGGUCUCAAGCGAUUUGUUCGGAUUCAUUAGGGCGUAAAGGGUGGCUAGGGCUGGCGCGGUAAGUCGGGUAGUGAAAUUUCGACGGCUUAACUUCGAAACUGUAUUCGAUACUGCCGUGCGUUGAGGACUUGGAGAGGAGACUGGAAAUUUACGGUGUAGCGGUGAAAUGCGUAGAUAUCGAUAAGGAACACCAGGUGGCGAAAAGCGGCUUCCUGGUCCGAAGCACCGAACGUUCAGGCACGGAAAGCGAU